GAUGAACGCUAGCGGCAGGCUUAACACAUGCAAGUCGAGGGGUAGAAAUAGCUUGCUAUUUUGAGACCGGCGCACGGGUGCGUAACGCGUAUGCAAUCUGCCUUGUACUGGGGAAUAGCCCGGAGAAAUCCGGAUUAAUGCCCCAUGGUAUUCUUGUGUGGCAUCACACGAUUAUUAAAGAUUUAUCGAUACAAAAUGAGCAUGCGUCCCAUUAGUUAGCUGGUGUGGUAACGGCACACCAAGACGAUGAUGGGUAGGGGUCCUGAGAGGGAGAUCCUCCACACUGGUACUGAGACACGGACCAGACUCCUACGGGAGGCAGCAGUGAGGAAUAUUGGUCAAUGGGCGCAAGCCUGAACCAGCCAUGCCGCGUGCAGGAUGACGGCCCUAUGGGUUGUAAACUGCUUUUAUACGGGAAGAAACACCUCUUCGUGAAGAGGCUUGACGGUACCGUAAGAAUAAGGAUCGGCUAACUCCGUGCCAGCAGCCGCCGUAAUAC
rnacentral:rRNA from 1 species